UUCGAUGGAGGAGAACAAGUUACUGCUACUUCCUCUGUAACCAACAAAUUGGAGCAGGGAGAGUUGGAAGAGAACUUGGAGCUCGAAGACGAAGAAGGAGAUGUUAUGUUUGUCAUGACUGAUGAAUGGAAAGAGUUCUUUGCCAAGUCUGAAGCUAAAAGGAGAUCAAAGAAGCAGCAGAAGAAAGGCAGCAAGUGAACCACAAUACAUUUAUUAUCUUCGAACUGCGCAUUUCGAGCUCAUCUCAAUGAUGAGAUUUGCAAAACAAUUGCAUUGUCGAUACAGAAAUUUUGAGUUAAAGUUUGCUUGCUUGUAAUACACUUGCUGUGAUGGAACAGGAAUAUGUUUUCAAUUGUUUGCCCUUUUGCUUUGAAAGUUUUAGUGACUGUUA